GACGAACGCUGGCGGCGUGCUUAACACAUGCAAGUCGAACGGAAAGGCCCUGCUUUUGUGGGGUGCUCGAGUGGCGAACGGGUGAGUAACACGUGAGUAACCUGCCCUUGACUUUGGGAUAACUUCAGGAAACUGGGGCUAAUACCGGAUAGGAGCUCCUGCUGCAUGGUGGGGGUUGGAAAGUUUCGGCGGUUGGGGAUGGACUCGCGGCUUAUCAGCUUGUUGGUGGGGUAGUGGCUUACCAAGGCUUGGACGGGUAGCCGGCCUGCGAGGGUGACCGGCCACAGUGGGCCUGAGAUACGGCCCAGACUCCUACGGGAGGCAGCAGUGGGAAAUAUUGCACAAUGGGCGGAAGCCUGAUGCAGCAACGCCGCGUGCGGGAUGACGGCCUUCGGGUUGUAAACCGCUUUCGCCUGUGACGAAGCGUGAGUGACGGUAAUGGGUAAAGAAGCACCGGCUAACUACGUG
rnacentral:rRNA from 1 species